CGGUGAAUUGAACGCUGGCACAUACCUGAGGGUAAAACAAUAGAAGCAUAACAAUGGUGGCUUGAAGAAACUUAAAGGUCAUGGAACUAUAUCAUCAUCAAUGCGUAUGCAGGGAACGUGAGAAAUCUUGGGCCAAUCCCCUCCUCUUUCAUCUUUGCACCGCCUUUUUAGCAAUCGACAUUCUCAAAUUCGGAAAUGAGAGAGAUAUUUUGGCAGGCCCUCCUCUGGCAAGCAUUCUAGCUCAGGGCAAUCAUCAAUUAAUA
rnacentral:misc_RNA from 1 species